GCAGUCCGCAUAAUGCAUUCAGUGAAGGCCAAAGCAACAAACCUGCAUAUGCCAUAAGAAAGGUUAAAAAGGAAUCUCAUGACAGCGCAUGGGCGUAGACGCAUAUGCUCUCGGCGAUGGUCAUUGUUAGGUCAAGAAAUAUGGAUGAGGAUAGACAACAUGCUGUUAGAUCAAGAAAGGACAAACAAAUAAUCAUCAGUUAAAUUCUAUCUAACAGUCCACACCAUGCAUGCAUUAUUAUUUUUGUAGCUGUCCCACGUUCACGUCCAUACCGGCAAGCACAUAGCACGGCCCCCAUUUUCAAGUGCAGAAAGUUUGGAAUCCAGAGUGGCACGUCGAGUGCAUGAACUAAUCAAACAUGAUGGUUCUUCACUCGGACCAGGUUUAGUUGGUCUCUAGUACAUAACAAGGCUAGGCUUCAUGACGCUCCAGCUUUAGUUAGUCUAUACUCUAUACACUUCAUCUUCCUCCUUCUCUUUUCCUUCUCUGCUCUGCCAGUGCGUCCACUAAUUUGUAUUCUCCUUUGGUAUUACUCCUGAUACUAGCUUGUAUUUCUGUGCGUUUCCUCUAUGAUCUGCUUCUAGCUCCCCAUUUUCAUGCUCUCCGGUUCUCCAAUUCUCUUAACAGUUGUCCACUUGCAAAGUACACCUUGUGGGGAGUUUGGGAUGGCCGAUUGGAGCAUGGGACCUGCUGUAUGGGUACCCAGUGAUUACCAGCUAUCCAUGGAACCUGCAAUAUGGAUUCCUGGCGUCCCUAUCGAGUAUGCUGUGUCGACUGAGAUGCUUGGUAGCUCCUACCAAUACCAAGCGUCUAUCCCUAGUUCAAGUGAAGAUCAGCAACGGCUGGUUGAGUACGCAGCUGCAGCAGCCACACAGCAACAACAACCACGUGAGGGUGAGCUGGUUGAUUUCCAUGGGAUGGAAAUGUACAUCCAUAGUCCAAUUCGUGUGUUCGAGAAAGCAGCAUAUGAGUUUUAAGGUCAACAUCGGCAAGAUGGGGACCAAGAUGCAUAGAUACCCUACAUACUUUCCAAACCUCCCGACACGAUACAGAGUCCCGUGGACCGUGUCCAUUGGCCCUUACCACCGCAAACAUCCACGUCAACUCCGUCAGGCGGAGGAUGUAAAGCAUGUGGCCGCAUACCACUGCAUCAAGCAGUCUGGCCACUCGGUCCAGGAGAUAUAUGGUGCAGUCGUCUCGGUGGCAGACCAUGCACGCAGCCUCUACGACAAGGAUGUGAUGGCAGGUAUCAGCGAUGAUGUCUUCCUUCCUAUGAUGUUCUAUGAUGCUUGCUUCCUGGUGCAGUACAUGCUUACUUGCACUUCCGAUGGCCUGGAGGAGAUGGAUGAGUCAUUGCGUAGUUUCUUUGACUCCCACGAUGAAGCCAUCUUUAACGACAUCAUGCUUCUUGAGAACCAGCUCCCUUGGGUGGUGAUGGAGACCCUGUUGAGGUUCAGACCUGUGCCCUUGGAGGACUUUGUUGCUGCAUUGAAAGGCUUCCUGCAGGACCGCAAGGAUCUCAACAUUCAGACUGUUAUCCUGGAUGAUUUUUUCAAGCCACCGCAUCUGCUGGGCCUCCUCCGAUUCUACGUUGCAGGAACAAGCAACGCCAAGCAGCCGCAGCUACCCCCAACCGAGUUCAUAUCAUUUUCUGUUAGUGCCGUGGAACUUGCAGAAAUUGGCAUCACCCUCGCAGUAAGCGGAGCAACAGAGCUUGCACAAAUUGGCAUCAAGAAAGGACCCCUCUUCGGAGAGCUGUCCCUGCCUCAACUGUCCCUGGACGACACAAAUGCGAGUAUCCUUGCCAACAUGGCUGCAUUCGAGCUAUGCACCACCGCAGAUUUCCAAGCUGUCCAAGACGAGAAUUCUGCUGUCUGCUCAUACCUCCAACAUCUGGCCAUGAUCCUGGACCGGGUGGAGGACGUGCACGAGCUGCGAAGCAAGCAUGUCCUUCAAGGAGGAGGAGGGCUCAGCAACUUGGGUGUGCUCCAAUUCUUCACAAGUCUUCAGGACCUGCGCCUUGGAUCCUGCUACAUCCGCACGAUGAAACAGAUUGAGGAUUACAGGCAUAAAAGGCAAAGGUGGAUCAAAGUGGUCAAGUUUUAUAAGGAGAACAAGAAAACAAUCGCCACUGUACUAUCCGGCAGUGCUGCACUUGCCAGUAUCUUAGGGACGAUCUUGUCUCUGAAAAAAUAGCAGUUGUAAUGCAGUUUGAUGUAUCUUUGUUAUUUAAUUUUCAUUGUAUCUAAAUUCCAUUUGUAAUAAAAUGUGGAUCCCAUUUGCAGUUUUUGCAUUCCACUAGACUAUACUAGUUUAAAUUUGUGCUACCGCUUUGCUAUUGCAUUCUACCAAAUACGAAUGCAUUCUUUUUCUUCAAGACCUGACCUACCCAUGCACUAUCUAACAACAUCAAUUUGGUGCGAAUAGUAACGAGUAGAUAGUGUAUAUAUAAUCUGCAAAUUGUAACGAGUUAGUGGGUUGGUCAAACCAAAUCAAUAUCAUUCGUUAAAAGCUCAGACCACCAAAAACUUCAGCUACUAGUGCAGCCAACGUUGUACUAUCUCAGAAAAGUACCCAAAACAUAGCAUUACAAGCUGCAGCUGAACUUUCACAACAUCAUGCGCUCGGAUCUUUGCAACGGGGCUAAGAAAAAGCGUGCUUAAUCAAAUUCCAUCCCAGAUCCGUAUCCCUCGCGUCCGAUUGGGUACUGGGAGACGUACCGAGUUGCCGAGUCGCGGAACCAGGGAGGGCAGGGUCGAUGGGACGGGUGGACGGCCGGACCCGGACGGGGCGUCCGCGACAGCCGGACGGUGAGCCGGGCGACGACGUGGCCGUGACCUAUUGCCGCUGGCGAGGGGAGCCAGCGGCCGCGUCUGGCUAUGCGAGGCGCGGAGCGGUGGCGGCUCCCGGAGGCGGACUGCGGUGGCCGCCAGUCUCGGGCGCAGUCGGGGGAGUUCCCCGAUUCGAUCAAUCCCCUGUCCGCCAGUCUCUGUGUGUGUGUUUUCUCUCGUCGUUUUUCGUUGGCCUCGUGGCAUGGGCCAGGAGGUGUGCACUGGGCUGAGGCCGUGGCCU
rnacentral:lncRNA from 1 species